CUUAUAAAUUGAGAAUGUCGGUAGCGGUUUUAAGACUUAGACAACUCUCCAAGAAGGCGAUCUUCGACUAGAAAUCAGGAAUUGGAAUCGUCUACAAGCCAGCAAAUAUGAAACUUAUCUUGUUGCUGUGUCUGACUGUCGCGGCAGUCUACGGCCAGACAUGUCCCAGCAGCAGUCCUGACGCCGAGUUUGGAAGCGACAUGUCGUUUUCUCCAAGCGAGAAAAAAAGUGCUGAAGAAUUCGAAGCCGAAAAGCGCUUGAGGGCAAAAUUG